GGUUCCGUAGCUCAACUGAAUAGAGCACUUGACUACGGAUCAAGAGGUUACAGGUUUGAAUCCUGUCGGAAUCACAA
rnacentral:tRNA from 10 species